UCCAAUUUUCUCUCUUCGGGUCAAGACUGAGAACACAGGGAGAAAUUCUUCAAGUUCUUGCUUCCUUUGGAGUUCUCCACUCCAGAAAAGACAUUUCAGUUGUCCUGCACCUCUAGAUUGGGAGAUAGAAUCGUGGUUACCGGUCCAAGUGGGAGAGAAAUAGAGUAUGGAUGUUGAUUGGGCCAUAAGACCCCCGGAUGGAGAGCGACCAGUCUAUCCACCCAAGUCUGACUACUUCACAAUACUGCUCCACUACACACUUGGUGAUGUAAUGAAGUGGAGUGACCGUAGAUUCAGUGGAUAUGUUGACUAUUGUUGUGCCGACAAGAUGUCUAGGUUGGAAAUCAUGGCCAUGGCAAAGGAACUAAAUUUAGUUGUGCAAGGCUGUACAUUCUGGUGGCUAGAUGUUAUGAGUGAAAGGAUGGGGAUGAGAGAAAUAAAAGACGACGCAGAUGCUUUGGCAAUGGCCCAAACUGCUAAUCUUUGUAGAGAGAUAAAUGUUUAUGCUAAGGUUACCAGGGUGUUGAAUUCAACUUUAGAAAAAGAUGGUUCCUUAGAUGAAGAUGGGCAGAACAACAUGCUGGAAACUGAUGGACAUGUACAUGAAGAUACACAGAACAAUUUACCUGGCAAGGAUGGUGGCUUAGAAGAACAUAUACAGAACAACAAUGUGGACAGUGAUGGAUCCUUAGGAGAAGAUACAGAGAUAAACUUAUUGGAAAAGUGUCGUGGUUUUGAGGGUGAUGAUGCUGUUGUAGAAGAAGAGGGAGCUACACAGAAUGAUGUUCAAAACCAAGAGCAAGACCAAGAAGAAAUGGAUCAAGACAGUGGGCUAUAUGAUUCAGAAUAUAAUUUUAGCAGUGGAUAUGAUGAAUAAGUUGAGGGCGGUGGUGAUGCACAUGAGGCCAGUAGAAAAAAAAGGGAAGUAGAUAGUAGGGUAGAAGUCAAUGGUAGAGAUGAGGAUGAAAUUGAGAGUGAUUAUGAUUCUUCAGGUGAGCUACAUUCAUGUUCUUCCACUGAUGAUGAAAUGGUUGUUCUAAGUAGACCUAAAUAUGCAGAAUUUAUUGAGGAAUAUGACAUGAGAGAUCCUCAUUUCGAGGUUGGCAUGAAGUUUAGAAGUUUCAAGCAGUUCAGGGAGGAUGUCCGAAACUAUGGCAUUAAACACAUGGUUGUUAUGAAUUUUAAGCCAAGUAAUAGUAAGAGGUGCAAGGCAAUAUGCAAGAAAGGUUGCCCCUUCUAUAUAUGGGCUGCACCUAUGAUUAAAGACAAAAACACAAUUCAAAUCAAAUCAGGAAUAUUCAAACAUGAAUGUGCUAGGGAUCAUAAGAUAAGGCAUGUUAACGCAAAAUGGAUUGCACAUAACUACCUGGAGCAAUUCAGGGCUGAUCCUUCUUGGUCUAUUGCUGGGAUAAUUCAAGCAGUAAAAACUAAUGAAGAGGUGGACAUUAGCAGACUCAAGGCUUGGAGGGCCAGGGGUAUUGCAAGAAGUUUGCUAGAUGGUGAUGAAAUAAGUCAGAUAAAAAGCUUGUAUGACUACAGACUUGAACUAUUGCGCACACAUCCAGGAUCAACUAUAAAGUUCAAGUGCACUGAAGGUACAUUUCAAGGUAUGUAUGUAUGUUUGGCUCCAUUGAAGGCAGGGUUCUUGGCUAGCUGCCGACAAAUCAUCUCCUUAGAUGGAUGCUUUCUCAAAGGAUUAUUUGGAGGGCAACUCCUAUCUGCUGUAGGGAUAGAUGCAAAUGAUUGCAUCUAUCCCAUAGCAUGGGCAAGAGUGGAAAAAGAGAACCGCGAGAACUGGAGUUGGUUCUUGGAGCUGCUUGGUGGAGAUUUAGAAAUCAACAACAGUCAAUCUUGGGCCUUUAUGACUGACAGGCAAAAGGGUUUAUUACCUGCAAUAGAAGAAUUAUUCCCCGAUAGUGAGCACAGAUUUUGUGUUAGACAUAUACUCACC